CAUUUUUGAGGUCACUUAAUCAAUAAAUUAAUUAAAAAAUUCUCAAAAAUCAACUUAUUUGAGGUAUUACCUCCUAUUAAGUAAAGAGAGUACCAUAGCAUUGCCCAUCAGUAAAUAUGUGUUUGUUGGUAGCAGAAAUGGCACGUGUAGUCUUACACGAUAUUGAAUUGCAGCCAUUUAUGAUACAUUGCUGUUUAGUUACAUGAAUUGGUAAAUCACGACCUUAAAAGGAAGCACAAAGAAGAGAGCCGAGAGCGUCCCUCAGGGUGCCAACAUAUUCCCAUCCAUUCACAGCCAGAGAGUAGUAGGCAAGUCCACAGAACACCAUACAGCUGCACAAGACCACUGCCUAGAAAUGUUUGAAACAUGUACAGGAAGGGUUCCGGAUGCCCUUUGAUCCUCUGGUUUGACAAUCCAAGUGCAUGUAGGAUUGGGAGGAACCAGGAUUCAAAGAUCCGCAUCGGUUGAUGAAUCAGGAUUUCUGGUGGCCACCUGGGACUCGGAGUGCAAGAUCAGGAGACAGGAGAGGCAGAGGACGCUAGAGUGUAUCUGGUCACGUUGCUUCUGGUCGUCAUCUCAUCUCCCAGGACACCAGCACUGCAUCAUUUUAGGAACCCAAGGAUCAUGAUGUGGCGUUAAUAGGCAAUGCCAUGAAUAGGGGAAUAGAUAUAGGAGAGCAUGUCCAUCAGACAAGAGAGAGACGUACCGGAUGACGAUGCAUGUGAAUCAAGCAUGCUGAGCAUGUAGGGAAGUAGGUUUGAGGUUGAGGUGAUGGACCUCAGGAUUCAUGUGAAUCAAGUAUGCCUAUCCUGGUCACUUUGGGGUUGGGAAGAACCUGCCAGGAUUUCAGCAACUCCUCUUAACGAAGCCACAGGAUAACGUACCAGUACCCAAACUCAUACCUGUGUUUUUGGGAGGGUAUGGAUUGUCCAUUUAUUUAUGGGUAUGGGUAGGAUAAUAGAGGUAUUACCCAUUUAGAUGCCGCAGCUCAGAGCUAAGCAGAGAUCAUGAAGGCCUCGUGCUGGCAGGGAAUAGCAGUAUAUCAUGAUUCCAGCAGAGAAGUCCCUUACCAUUGGAUAAUCCACACCCAAUCCCUAUGGGUAAUUGCAGAAUGACUGAAGAGGCGCUCCCAAGAGCCAGGUUUCCCGC
rnacentral:lncRNA from 1 species